UAGGCUUUGAGUAAUGUGUGGGCCACCUGAGUUACGUGAGUGCGAGCCACUUUCCAUGCUGUCUUGUGUUUGUCCUAGGGUCAAGGACGAUGCAGCAGCACACAUUGCAUCCCUCAAAGCAGCUCAUGAGAGGGAAAUAGAGAAACUCCUUUGCCAAAAUGCAGUAGAAAAUUCCUCUUCCAGAGUAGCUGAACUGAAUCGCAAAAUCGCAACUCAAGAGGUUCUUCUAAAACAUUUCCAAGGUCAAGUUAAUGAGCUGCAGGGCAAACAGGAAUCCCUUUCACUUUCUCAAGUUCGAGAAGAAAUCCUACAGAAACAGAUUACAAAACUCUUGGAAGAAUUGAAAGAAGCCAAAGAAAACCACACACCAGAGAUGAAACAUUUCAUGGGCUUAGAAAGGAAGAUCAAGCAGAUGGAGAUGAGGCAUAAGCAGAGAGAGCAGGAGCUCCAGCAGAUAAUACAGCAAACACGCCAAGUAGUAGAAACUGAGCAAAACAAAGAAGUUGAGAAAUGGAAAAGACUUGCACAGUUAAAGAAUCGGGAGCUGGACAAGUUCCGAACAGAGUUAGACUCCAUACUCGACGUUCUUCGGGAGCUGCACAGACAGGGGGUCGUUGUCCCGGUUGCUCUUGCAGAUGAAGAGAGCACAGCAAAAGAGUUUUAGUGGAACUUGGAUCUGCGUGACCGAGUUGGAAGACAGGUGGAAACGUGCCGCUGUCAGGACAGCCACCACACAGCCAUGCGUGACCACCCCACAGUACCAUGUCAGAAUAAACUGCCAUGAACCAACAAGGAAGAACAUACAUCUUGAUUAUCUUACUGAAAACCAUUAAACAUUUGAGAUGACCUUCGAGCAGGCUCCGUAAUGUCAGAAGGCUGUGACUAGCAAGGUUUAUGUGAAAGGGCGCCCUCCCAGGCUACAGUGGAAGAAGGGAGCGCACCUCCUCAGCCAUGUUUCAUAGAUUAAAUGCCUUUCCAUUUUCUGUCUGACAGAAAGUCAGCUUUCUCAUGAAACAGGUAGGUGAAUGAGAGCCUCGUGCUGGGGACAGUCUUAUCGCUGGCUAUAGAGUGUCCUCAGGAACUUAGGUGACAGUUGAGGGCCUUCUGCACCUGAUACAAAGUGACAAGAAAUGGUACAGUUUAUGUGUCUCUUACUGGAGGUCAGGUCUAGUAAAUGACAAUCCAAAUUUUUGGCAGCUCUAAAGUUAUAAACAAUAUAUGAAGUUUUUCCUUUUCUGUUAAAAAAGAAAUAUUAUGUCCAAUGGAAAAAAUUAAAAUGUGCCUAAAAUAGCUAGUUUAUUUUAUAAUCCCAUUUGUACAAGUAGAUCAGAAAUGUAUAUGAUUUCUGUAAAUGAAAGCUGCUAGCAGUUUUUCAGGUGUCCCUCUGGAGAUCGAGCUGUCCAUGGAGACAUGUGUGGCGUCUGCACUGGGUGCUUCUGGUGAUCUGUGUGGGAGAAAGAGGCAGGUAAUCUGAAGACACCUGAGCUCCAGACAGAAUGACAAGAAGUAUGCACAGUGAAUUUUAAUUUUUAGUCAGUUUAAAAUGGAAAGUGAAACUGUGAACUAAGUCUUUAGAGUAUAUUUUACAUUAUAGCACAUCUCGAUUUAGACUUCAUUCCAACUGCCCAUACCAGUAAAUGCAGGCCUGAAAUGAAAUGCAGUAAAUGCUUGCAAAGUAGAAUGUUUCAUAAGGGAUGGGUGAACAAAUCUUAGUGAACUCAUGACCAAAGGUUGUGAUGUAAACCUCCUGUUUAGUAGAAGCAGUGUAAUUGUCCUAAUGCCAACAUUUUAUCAUUUGUUUUCUUUCUGAGAGGGGAGUGAAAAAGCAUUAUCACUUUCAAUUUUUUCAUGUACGGCAUUUCAAAGUUAUAAUACAGAUAAUUUAUUUUAUC
rnacentral:lncRNA from 1 species